AUGCAAGUCGAGCGGGGAAGGGUAGCUUGCUACCUGACCUAGCGGCGGACGGGUGAGUAAUGCUUAGGAAUCUGCCUAUUAGUGGGGGACAACAUUCCGAAAGGAAUGCUAAUACCGCAUACGCCCUACGGGGGAAAGCAGGGGAUCUUCGGACCUUGCGCUAAUAGAUGAGCCUAAGUCAGAUUAGCUAGUUGGUGGGGUAAAGGCCUACCAAGGCGACGAUCUGUAGCGGGUCUGAGAGGAUGAUCCGCCACACUGGGACUGAGACACGGCCCAGACUCCUACGGGAGGCAGCAGUGGGGAGUAUUGGACAAUGGGCGAAAGCCUGAUCCAGCCAUGCCGCGUGUGUGAAGAAGGCCUUUUGGUUGUAAAGCACUUUAAGCGAGGAGGAGGCUACUUGGAUUAAUACUCUAGGAUAGUGGACGUUACUCGCAGAAUAAGCACCGGCUAACUCUGUGCCAGCAGCCGCGGUAAUACAGAGGGUGCGAGCGUUAAUCGGAUUUACUGGGCGUAAAGCGUGCGUAGGCGGCUUUUUAAGUCGGAUGUGAAAUCCCUGAGCUUAACUUAGGAAUUGCAUUCGAUACUGGGAAGCUAGAGUAUGGGAGAGGAUGGUAGAAUUCCAGGUGUAGCGGUGAAAUGCGUAGAGAUCUGAAGGAAUACCGAUGGCG
rnacentral:rRNA from 1 species